ACCUGCCCAUAAGACUGGGAUAACUCCGGGAAACCGGGGCUAAUACCGGAUAACAUUUUGAACUGCAUGGUUCGAAAUUGAAAGGCGGCUUCGGCUGUCACUUAUGGAUGGACCCGCGUCGCAUUAGCUAGUUGGUGAGGUAACGGCUCACCAAGGCAACGAUGCGUAGCCGACCUGAGAGGGUGAUCGGCCACACUGGGACUGAGACACGGCCCAGACUCCUACGGGAGGCAGCAGUAGGGAAUCUUCCGCAAUGGACGAAAGUCUGACGGAGCAACGCCGCGUGAGUGAUGAAGGCUUUCGGGUCGUAAAACUCUGUUGUUAGGGAAGAACAAGUGCUAGUUGAAUAAGCUGGCACCUUGACGGUACCUAACCAGAAAGCCACGGCUAACUACGUGCCAGCAGCCGCGGUAAUACGUAGGUGGCAAGCGUUAUCCGGAAUUAUUGGGCGUAAAGCGCGCGCAGGUGGUUUCUUAAGUCUGAUGUGAAAGCCCACGGCUCAACCGUGGAGGGUCAUUGGAAACUGGGAGACUUGAGUGCAGAAGAGGAAAGUGGAAUUCCAUGUGUAGCGGUGAAAUGCGUAGAGAUAUGGAGGAACACCAGUGGCGAAAGGCGACUUUCUGGUCUGUAACUGACACUGAGGCGCGA
rnacentral:rRNA from 1 species